rnacentral:misc_RNA from 1 species
GUUUGAUGUGGAAAGGGUGUUUGUAGUGAUGUCUUUUGUUUAGUUGAUGUUCAUUUUUUUCCACUUAAUCUUCUUGUGUCCAGAUCUUGAGUUCUGCUGGUUACUGUUAUGUCAAUUAGCAAUUGAUGCAUGUUCAGUGAUAGCUUUCACAAUUCUUCAAUUGACAAGUUAGUGUAUUUGUUAUCAAAAUUGUGAACAAAACGGAAUAGAAGACUAGAAGUAGCAGAUUAUUGUAUAAGUAGCUGACAACCCGCACAUUGGUG